GAAGAAUUCGAUUGUAAAAAUUAGAAUCGAUAUUUCCACAUUUGAAGCUAUGACCAAUAAUCGAUUGUCAAGGUGUUCGUUGCGAACACCCUGUUUUUCUAUAUUUUUCCAUAGGUUUACAUGACAGGUCAAUCAAUUUAUCGCAAAGCACGCCAAGCCUCUGAGCUGCACUAGCCUCAUAUUAGUCAGUUAAUUGUGAAACAGUGAAUAAUGAAAAGCACUUCUUUGGUCUCUACGAAUGAAUAUGCCCUGGUAGGUAUAAUAAAUAAAAAUUAGUUUUACGAAAACAGACACUAUAACAACUUUUAUUACUCUUUCCUGCGGUUAACACUUUUAAACUUCGGUUCAACAGAGUACAAUAAAGACGAAUUUUAGAACAUUUCACCAAGUCUUUGCGAGAAAUUAAGGAAAUUUUACACGUGUUCACCACUAAGCACUGUGGUGACUUACGCAAUGUGGAAAUACUAUGUUUCAUCCAUUUAAAUGUACGUAAAACACUCGACAUUUUUUUAGGGAGGCAGCUGCCUCACCCAGAAUCGAUAUUUAUUGUAGUGGGUUUAAAUGGACAAAAAACAGUUUGACCAACUUGCAAGAACAGCAUUUAUUGUCUGGACAAAUUUUAUUGCAUACACUGCACAAAUCGUUUUGUCUUCUAAAGUAAGUGUUCAUGGUCUUUCGACUGUCAAGAAAAAAUCUACUGCGGGUUUUUCAAUACGACCGAUGGACUUAGUUCCUUCCUUGGAAUACAGUUUCAGCCGUUCCAAUAAAUCUGCAAUUUAAACAACUGCAGAUUUAUUUCUUCUCUGUGAAUUCAAUUUCAGUCGUCGGUUCUUCUGCAAACAAAUUAACUACCGAGCCGAACCAUGUAAAGUCUGCAAAACACUAAAAAAAAUCCUUGCGACAAACAUCAGUUUGUGUUUGAAAAUAAUGUGCUGUAGUUGAUUAACAUCAAACUUUUUCUAAUGAAAACAAGCUGGUUUGCAAUCGCAGUGCGAUAGCAAUACUCGGCAUGGGAACUUGAGAAAUGUUUGAUAAAUCACUUAGCAUUUGGUGUACCAUUUUUAUGAUGGAUACCUAUGGGGUCUGCUUUUGAUUAAGCAAAAGUCAAAACAUUUACCUAUGGCUGGUAAAAUUUCAGAAGUUGUUCCUUUUCUGCGGCAUGACGGCGAUUUUUUUUAUUUUCUUCUGUUAUUUAUUUUUUUCUAUUUUUCCAGCUUCAUUGAUUUACUGUUUGGAUCUGAUGAUACCGCACUUUAUUGUCAAAGCAAAAACUCAGAAUUUUCAUGAAAUCCUUCUAUAUAAUGGGUCAGUUGCACUGGUCUCAGAAUUGUGAUUGAUGCUUGCUUUUUAAAGAUCAACUAAAAUAAUAAAAUCUCUUCAAACAGCAACUUUCCACAUUAUCACCCUUUGAAAAGUUGGGGUUUUGACGUCAUCAGGGCCGGAUUUACCUACUUGCCGCCCAUGGGCCGCCUGUAUUUUGCCGCCCCCUUCUCAUUCGUUUUGAAACAUCAAUAAAAACCAUCAAGUGAACAUUCCAGAGGGGGAGGGGUGCAUAAGACGCGUUUACUCGUGUUGGAUAAAUUUUUUGGGAAAGCCGUGUCAACACUACUAGCAAAAGUUCACGGAAUACUUCGCGCGAAAUUUAAGUUUCGUAAACCUAUCUCUUUGUGGACAAGGCCUUCGAUUCAUUAGAAAUGAACGAAAAAAUUAUGAAAGAACAAACAUAAAUGUGAUUUAAUGAUUUUAACUUCCGCCGCGCCGCUCAGGCAGACCGCACCGUGUUUGGCGUAAUGCGUGAAGUAUUCAUGCACUCUUGCAGUCGCCGUCCGUUUCACGCUGACCGCAGUGACCGCACUGUGUUUGAUGCAAUGCGUGAAGUAUUCGUGCAGUCUUGUAGGCGCUAAUAUGUGUUACAUGCCGAUCGAUCGCCGCGCCGAGGCUUCUCCUUUUCAUCUCAAGUCCUCGUCAUCAUUUCUCUCCAAGUCGCGCCGUUCCAGGCCAAAUUGCGUGUUUGGUUUCUCUCUUAACUCGACUAAUUAAAGGUGCUGUCACUUGUAUCACUGAAAGACGGACUAAAUUAGAAAUUACUAUACUCUCAGGAAAUGAGAGAUCUUGUCGCCUUUUUUCGCUUGUAAUUUCUUUUUCUAAAUCCGAUUUUUUUUAUACCUACAUUUAAAAAAAUUGCAGAAUUUGCCGCCCCCUAGAUUUGCCGCCAUGGGCCGCGGCCCAUGUGGCCACCCCCUUAAUCCGGCCCUGGACGUCAUUCCUCGUCAUCCCUUUGUUUUCUUAUACCUGGCUUUCAUGCGAGUUUCUCGUUGAGUAACCAGUGCUAUAAUGUAUUUCACCCUGAUUGAUGAAAGCAAGGCUGAAGAAACCAAAGGUGUCACUCCCACGGUGCAUUGAUGACGUUAUAAAUCGAAUUUUUCAAAGCGCGAUUUCUCGGUUAAUAUUGGACGUAGAAAGUUGCUGUUCGGACAGACUUUAUUAUUUUUAGCUAAUCUUCAAGAAUCAAGCAUUAAAGCGCAAUUCUCUGACCAGCGCAACUGACCCAUUCCAACCAGAAAACCUCUUGCUUCCUUCAAAAACUUGGUUGGUUUCUGUUAGACUCAUUCCGAGAGUAUUAAAUGAUAAAUUGGACGUAUUUCUGCCAAACGGAAUUAUCUGCACCAUGACGUGAGCCCUGUUAUGCAUAUAUUCUUAUGGGUCUCAAAGCUCAUGUCUUAAUGCACAUUGUUCCGUUUGAAAGAAAUACGUCCAAUUGUCAUGAAAUCCAAAAUUAGAAUUAUUCAAUUCGAGCCGCACCGAGAGACGAAAAAGUCGUCCAGAGGUGGAAAUCAGCACCAAAACCCACAAAUUUCUCAAAAAUGUUCACACGAUUAAGGUCGCAUAAAUCGCAAUACAACAACGGACCGAAUACUACGGUCGAUGUAGGACGCGGUACUACGGAUAUUAUGACCGAAUUUUAUUUCUCAGUAAACCUCUUUACAGGUUGUGCACGCUGGGAGAGAUCUUAUUGAACUCUUUGUCGGACAACAUCUGCCACCGGAAGCCGAGUAUUUGAGACACUUCUUGUUCCGUUAUUUCGUAAGAACGACACGAUUUCUUCAACCAAAUGCUGAAUCCCUCGGGCCAAUCGGAGUUUUUGGGCCAGUCGUUGCGGAGUAUCACAGCGUUUUCGACGAAUGUACAAGUUUUUAAGUUUCUUCCCGUAACUUGCCAGCAGCAGCACUGUCGCUGUCGAUAUGCGUUCUCGAAUUAUCUAUGGAAAAAACAAGGAAAAAAAAUUUGGUAAGGUAAAAAAAAUUAGUUACAAUGUUGUAGAGAAUGAAAAUGAUUUAAGAGAGAGUGGGUAGUACUUAUGAGAAAAAAUGGCCUCCGGCCAAUUUAUGCGCGGCGCAAGCGCCACGUACCGGCGCCUCGCGCCGGCAUGUGGGGGGGCUUCGCCCCCCCAUCAUGGUGCGAGGAUCGCACAAGACUUUCUCGCUUUUGCCGGCGCUCCGCGCCGGCAUAUACACUUUUACUGGAAUAUUUAGAAAAAUACUGUCAUUUCAUAAAAUCAUAA
rnacentral:lncRNA from 1 species